AUUUUGCCAUGGGGACUGUGGUGAGCACUUUAUAGUAAUCCUUGCAGCCACACCAUGAGCUUGUUUCUGUUAUCUCCAAUUUACAGAAAAACUAAGGCUUGGUGAAAUUAUGUACCUUGCCCCAAUGGUGCAUAACUAGUCUGAAAAGAGCUAAAACUCAAAAUCGUUUUGUCUUCUUCCAUAGUGCCCCAGAAUGUCUUCCCCUAAUAGGCCAGUAUCUGCGGAAGCAGAUGCCCUUAUUCAAUCCAGACGGCAGCCUGAGACAAAGCUAGCCUAAAACCCAGGGCGGCAUCUCAGUUCAUCCACAAGGCAGUUCCAAGAUUUAAAAUUUAGUUUGAAGAACAUUAUUCUGAUGGUGAAGUAUGCCACCUACUGACUUAUAUGCCCUCACAAGUAGCAGGUUCAUAUGGUUGCCUAGAACAAAGGGCUUUAGGUUGUACAAGCAAAUAAAAUCAUCCAUCUUGUUGAUUCCAACAUCUUAAGAUUCUGUCUAGCUAUGGAAAUCAGUUCUCUUUUGUUAAUUUUAAUCACGGAAAUGGGAUGAAAUAACACCAUAGAGUAAAGCAUAUAUUAGGAGUACAGUCUUUGUUUUACAUAUAUGUUGAGUGGCAAAGUAAAUUUAUUUUCACCGUGGAUUGAGAAUCAUUGCCUUAGAUAAUAUCACUAACACUUACCGUUACUGAGGAAGCCAUAUUUUCCCCAAUAUCCCUUUCAUGCAGUCCGUCUUAGUACUCAGAAAAUGUAUUAAUUAACUGUAACUGCUGACCAAAUUAUGAGAACCAUCUGACCUUGAAGGAAUCUCAAGACAAUCCAACAAAUUAUGGUACAAGUAAAACAAUAAUACAUUCUACUGUUCCCCUCCUAUGAGUAAUAAAUACUAGAUACUUACUGUUUCCAUAAUGUACUCUGAGACUACUUUUAGAAUCAAGUAGAUUUUCAACAUUAAACGUCUUCAUCCAGAACCAUUAAAUGAAUGCAAAUAUAAG
rnacentral:lncRNA from 1 species